rnacentral:rRNA from 1 species
AUGGGGAACAUACACCAGGCCGGCGUCAAGAAAGAUGACCAUGGCGGCGGUGACAACCAGCAGCUACAGGUGGUCUCCGUUCUCGAGCUCCAGGCCGGCGUUGUGGAAGACCAGCUGCAGCCUCUCGGCGGAUGGCAUGCCGUCGAGGCAACCUCCAUGUUGGAAAAUUGCAAGACAAACAGUACUGCUACAGAUGGAGGCACCAGCAGCAGGAUAGAUAUCCCCGGUCCUGCAACCGAACAGAACAUCCCUAAACCCAGUAAUCCUCUUCAUCCAUGCCCGCCGCCACAGUCGCUGCCGGAGGGUGUGCAGUCCGUGCUCAACACGUCACGGGUUAACCGAAAGUGCAUUGGAGAUGGUGAUGGCUUCACUGCUUAUGAGGAGAGGAUUGGAGGUGAUACAAACAUCCAAGAUCCACCGAAAUACAAAAUUAGAAUGAAGGGGAUUGAUGCACCGGAGCUGGAUAUGGAAUAUGGCAUGGAGUCAAAGGAUGAAUUGGUGAGGCUUAUUGGGGGGAAGCGUGUUUCGAUUCUUGUGUAUGGGCCAGACAAAUAUGGACGAUCUCUUGGUGACAUCUACUGUGACGGCGUCUUUAUCCAAGAACAAAUGCUGAAAGGGGGCUUUGCCUGGCACUACAAAAUGUGCGACAAACGUCCUGAAUUUGCAAAAUGGCAGAGAGAGGCGAAAAAGGCACGCCGAGGGCUUUGGUCGUUAGAUAAACCUCAAAAACCAUGGAUUUGGAGGAGAGAUAAUCCACGCAUUGACAACAAGAAGGGGAAUGCAGAUGACAUUCAGGUAGAACCGCAGAACCAGGUCAAUGAGAGCAGUGUAGGUCUACCAUUGUUGAUAAUGAAAGAUAUGGAGGAUCUGGGUAGGAAAUGGAAAGGGAGUCUGGAAAAUUUUGUGUCUGAGAAUAUGAAACUACAUGAUCAGGUCCAGGAGUUAAAGAGAGAUAAAAAGGAGGCCGAGGAGCGAGCUAAGAAGGCUGAAAAAGAAAUGGGAAAUGCUAUGGCUGACAACAUGAAGCUGAAUGGUCAGCUCCAGGAAUCGGAAAGAAAUAAAAAGGAGGCCGAGGAUCGAAUUUUACAGUUGGAUUUCUUCUCAGGAAGUGUGGCAGCUGUAAACAUGGAUUUGCACAAUAAGAUAGAGGUUCUAGAAAAUGAGCAUAAAAAGGCCGAGGACCGAGCCAAGGAGGCAGAAAGUGAAAUGGAGGGUGUUGUGGCUGAGAACAGGACGCUGAAGGAUCAGCUCCAGGUAGUAGAGGUCCAAGCUAUGAAGUUGAAAUAUUUUUCUGAAAAGGUUGCAGGUGUAAACAUAGUUUUGUACCGUAAGCUGGAGGGGUCAGAGGAGAAGAAUAAAAUGGCUGAGGAGCAAGCCAAGGAGACAGAGAAGGAGAUGAAAACUAUUCUGGAUGACAAUGUGAAACUAAGUGGCCAGAUUCAAAAAUUAAGUAAGAUAAAUAAAGAGAUUACCACCUUUGCUAAUAAUAGUAAAAGGAAAUUGCAAAGUGUUCUAGCCGUAAACAUGAAUUUGGACAAAAAGGGGAUGGAGCGAGCUACUCUACCGGAUAAGGGAUUGGAAAUUGUUGGAGUUGAAAAUAUGAAGGGGAAAUUACAAGGCACAAGUCACAAGAAGAGUGAACAAACUGUGGAGACCCCAUCGGCAACUCCAACCAAAGACUUUGGCGUGAAAAAACCCACUGUGUGGCGGAUGAAAACGGCCGCAACGACAUCUUCGGCGUCUCCACCAAAGGGUCAUUAUGAAUAG